rfam:Polaribacter sp. LPB0003 LPB3_23, whole genome shotgun sequence.
AGUUAGCAAAAAUGUGCGUUAGGGAUUGAAGCGACAUCCUUUUUGCUUUUUCUGCAAAAAGAUAUAGCGUAAAGCCCGACCUUUU